rnacentral:rRNA from 1 species
CCUACGGCGGCAGCAGUGAGGAAUAUUGGUCAAUGGUCGGGAGACUGAACCAGCCAAGCCGCGUGAGGGAGGAAGGUACAGAGUAUCGUAAACCUCUUUUGUCAGGGAACAAAGGCGGGGACGUGUCCCCGGAUGAGUGUACCUGAAGAAAAAGCAUCGGCUAACUCCGUGCCAGCAGCCGCGGUAAUUCGGGGGAUGGGAGCGUUAUCCGGAUUUAUUGGGUUUAAAGGGGUCGCAGGCGGGGGGUUAAGUCAGCGGUCAAAGGGCGGGGCUCAACCCCGGACCGCCGUUGAAACUGGCACCCUCGAGUUGGCGAGAAGUAUGCGGAAUGCGCGGUGUAGCGGUGAAAUGCAUAGAUAUCGCGCAGAACUCCGAUUGCGAAGGCAGCAUGCCGGCGCCACACUGACGCUGAGGCACGAAAGCGUGGGUAUCGAACAGGAUUAGAUACCCGGGUAGUC